rnacentral:miRNA from 1 species
UUAAAAUAUUUAUUUGAAAGCUAACGUUUCGUCUUGCUCUGAAGAUGUCUUAAGUUAAAGACGAAACGUUAGCUUUCAAAUAAAUAUU